rnacentral:rRNA from 1 species
GACGCAGGAUGCAAGCGUUAUCCGGAUUCAUUGGGUUUAAAGGGCGCGUAGGCGGAUUGGUAAGUCAGUGGUGAAAUCUGUGGGCUUAACCCACAAACUGCCAUUGAUACUGCUGAUCUAGAGUACAGUUGCCGUUGGCGGAAUAUGACAUGUAGUGGUGAAAUACUUAGAUAUGUCAUAGAACACCGAUUGCGAAGGCAGCUAACGAAGCUGUAACUGACUCUGAGGCUCGAAAGUGCGGGGAUCAAACAGG